CUACGGAGGGUGCAAGCGUUACUCGGAAUCACUGGGCGUAAAGCGCGCGUAGGCGGUUUAGUCAGUCAGAUGUGAAAGCCCCGGGCUCAACCUGGGAACUGCAUUUGAUACUGCUGAACUAGAGUAUGGUAGAGGGAAGUGGAAUUCCGGGUGUAGCGGUGAAAUGCGUAGAUAUCCGGAGGAACACCAGUGGCGAAGGCGACUUCCUGGACCAAUACUGACGCUGAGGUGCGAAAGCGUGGGUAGCAAACAGGAUUAGAUACCCCGGUAGUCC
rnacentral:rRNA from 1 species